GUGCUCGCUUCGGCAGCACAUAUACUAAAAUUGGAACGAUACAGAGCAGAUUAGCAUGGGCUCUGCGCAAGGAUGACUGAGAAGCAUCCACCUUCUUC
ensembl:snRNA U6 U6 spliceosomal RNA